rnacentral:misc_RNA from 1 species
GAUGAAGAACGUAGUGAAAUGCGAUAAGUAAUGCGAAUUGCAGAAUUUCCGUGAGUCAUCGAAUCUUUGAACGCACAUUGCGCCCUAUAGUAUUCUGUAGGGCAUGCCUGUUCGAGCGUCAUUUGGAACCCUCAAGCUCUGCUUGAUGUUGGGUGUUUGUCCUGCCUCUGUGCAUAGACUCGCCUUAAAGUUAUUGGCAGCUGAUUGUUUGGCUUGAGCACAGUACAUGAGCGGAAAUAGCCUACAGUCAGUGUCCAUAAGCCCUCUUUUAAGCUUGACCUCGGAUCAGGUAGGGAUACCCGCUGAACUUAAGCAUAUCAAUAAGCGGAGGA